rnacentral:rRNA from 1 species
GAUAAACGCUGGCGGCGUGCAUGAGACAUGCAAGUCGAACGAAGGAUCGGGCUUGCUCGAUCCUUAGUGGCGGACGGCUGAGUAACGCGUAGGUGACCUACCCCGAAGUGGGGAAUAACUGCCCGAAAGGGUGGCUAAUACCGCAUGUGGUCGCACGUUCAUUCGUGCGAGUAAAGCCGCAAGGCGCUUCGGGAGGGGCCUGCGUCCGAUUAGCUCGUUGGUGGGGUAAUGGCCUACCAAGGCGACGAUCGGUAGGUGGUCUGAGAGGACGAUCACCCAGACUGGGACUGAGACACGGCCCAGACUCCUACGGGAGGCAGCAGUCGGGAAUUUUGCUCAAUGGGGGAAACCCUGAAGCAGCAACGCCGCGUGAGGGAUGAAGGCCUUCGGUUGUAAACCUCUUUUGUCAGGGACGAUGAUGACGGUACCUGGCGAAUAAGACCACGGCUAACUACGUG